rnacentral:rRNA from 1 species
AGAUUGAACGCUGGCGGCAGGCCUAACACAUGCAAGUCGAGCGGCAGCACGGGUACUUGUACCUGGUGGCGAGCGGCGGACGGGUGAGUAAUGCCUAGGAAUCUGCCUGGUAGUGGGGGAUAACGCUCGGAAACGGACGCUAAUACCGCAUACGUCCUACGGGAGAAAGCAGGGGACCUUCGGGCCUUGCGCUAUCAGAUGAGCCUAGGUCGGAUUAGCUAGUUGGUGAGGUAAUGGCUCACCAAGGCGACGAUCCGUAACUGGUCUGAGAGGAUGAUCAGUCACACUGGAACUGAGACACGGUCCAGACUCCUACGGGAGGCAGCAGUGGGGAAUAUUGGACAAUGGGCGAAAGCCUAGAUCCAGCCAAUGCCGCGUGUGUGAAGAAGGUCUUCGGAUUGUAAAGCACUUUAAGUGGAGGAAGGCAGUUACCUAAUACGUAUCUGUUUGACGUUACGACAGAAUAAGCACCGCUAACUCUGUG